GUUUUGACAUAAUCGGACGUCAGUAACACAGGUGGUUAAAUAGAUAAAUAAAUAAUACCAAUAAUCACAAAAUAAUAAAUAUUAGGAUCAUUACUAUUAGCCUUCAAUGUUUUGCAAAUGUUGGAAAACGUGCAGUGGAGAGGAACAGUCCUCCAGACUUGAAACCAUAGUGGAACUUGAGGCUGAAGAGAGAGUUACUGAUGACAUGAUAGAACAUUUGAAGCAGUAACAGAUGUGUUCUAAGAUAAAACAGAUGGCAGGCAGAUGAAACUGGAGCAUAUACAGAGAAAGAAGAAGAAAUUGAUAAGUAACAUGAAGCAUGAUAGAUUUAUUAUGUUAAUUCAUUAAAGAGAAG